UCAAUACAUACCUCUGUUCUAAUAGAAAUCAGUUAUACUUAAACCCAUCCCUGCCCGAAAGACCCCUGAUUUAAUAAGAAAUUCUUUUUACCCAGAAAUAUUACCACAAGAUUGUGGAGACAUAUUUGCUGAGGUGUAAAAAUACUUGAAUAACAUGGAAAAUACGCGGCUGACAACCUCUAGGGAAAACUCUUCAAACCCAUUAGCUAUCCAGAUCCCAGUGGAAGCCACUAUAUUUGAAGAAAACACUUCAUCAUACCUCAGCUGUGCAACUCCAACGACAUCUGCAGAUCCCACUACUAGGUUGUGACAAAAACCCAAAACUGCCACCACUGCUGAGCAAAUUCAUCAGCUGAGUGACUAAUGGGAGACACCCUGAGAGGCAGAGAGUUUGCUACAUGUCCCCUGUAGACUUUGCAUCCUCAGAUAUUUCCACAUGACCUCAUGCUACAAACCAGGACAUGCAGUACUACUUUUCCUGAGGAAGACCUAGGCAGAGGCUCAGAUUGUGCUGCUGCUACUAUCCUGGAUACAAUGGCUGACCUCAGCACAUCUCCUUCUGUGAUAUUUAUUCCUAUGGAGCUCCCAGAAGAAAGCAAUGUAGCCUACUGCAAUCAGCAGCAGCAAAGUGUUGUUUUCAUGGCACAUUUUUAAACAAAUAAGGGAGACAUGUUUGUAGAGACCAGACAGCUUUUACUGGUUGAAAGCUCAGAUGGCUUUAUCACCACCACUAAACGUCACCAGUAAAACAUGAGAUGUGUCUUUCUGAAACCCUGCAUAACCAGUUAGUCUUUAAAAUAAUAUUUUCUGUUUAUUGAGAAGGUCUACAACUGAGACCGAGGCUUUCUUUUUAAAAUGUUAUGAGAACGGCGCAGGAAUGAACAUCAGCAACCUAGCCCAGACUCAGUCCUUAGAAGUUAGAAGAUGAAACAGUUGAAACUAUGACUAUGGUUUGGAGGUGUAUCCUAUGCACUAAGCUUAGCUUCCACAGAUGUUCAUUCUCCUGGAACAUCUGUAUUAGGUGCUUUUUAAUGGUCAUCACAUGUUGAUACCUACAAAUUCAUUUGAAAGCUGUUUCUAACAUGUUGUCAUAGCUUAACCCCAGCUGGCAACUAAAGCCCACAGAGCCUCUUGCUCCCCCACAGUGGGACUGUGGAGAGAAUUUGAAGAAUAAAAGAGAAAAUUCAUGGGUUGAGAUAAAAACAGUUUAAUAGGUAAAACAAAAGCUGUGAAUACAAGCAAAGCAAAACAAGGAAUUCAUUCUUCGCUUCCCAUCAGUAGGCAGGUGUUCAGUUAUCCUCAGGAAAGAAGGGUUCCAUCACACACAACAGUUAUUUGGGAAAAUAAAUGCCUUCACUGACACUAUCCCCCUCUUUAUUCUUCCUCAGCUUUAUAUGCCGAGCAUGAUACCAUAUGCUAUGAGAUACUCCUUGGGUCAGUUGCAGUCAGCUCGCCUGGCUAUGCUCCCUCCCAACUCCUUUUGCACCUUCAGCCUGCUCACUGGUGGGGUGGGGUGAGGAGCAGAAAAGGCCUUGACUCUGUGCAAGCACUGCUCAGCAGCAACUAAAACGUCCCUGUGUUAUCAACCUUGUUUCCAGCACAAAUCCAAAACAUUGCCUCACACUAGCUACUAUGAAGAAAUUUAACUCUAUCCCAGUCAAAGCAGGACACACCUAUAGGGCAUUUUCUCAAACAUACGUGUGUCUUUAAAAAUGUCUUUAAAAGGACAUCUAGUGUUAAAAGUGACUAUUAAAUAUAGGGAACUAUGACUCAAUUCUGCAGAAACUGACAUGUACUAGGACAAACAAAAGGAACAUGGAAAACAGUAGAAUCACUGAUUAUGUAUUUAGCCUUAGGAAGGUCAGCAGCAUAAAAGCAAAGCAACUUUCAUUUCAGAAAAUGUACCUAACUUUAUUGGAUUUAUAUCACAUAGCUAUAGGGGGGGUUCCUAUUUAUUUUUGUCUCAGCUUUGACUGUGGACUAGGAGUCAGAUGGCUAUCCUGCUAGGAAAAGCUAUAACUGCACUAUGCACAGUCCCAUUCAGGAUCUUUUCCUAGACAUAAAGGCUAUUGACUAUAGAUCUUAUUCUCUACUCCUCUGUGCUAUAGGGCUGCUGCUGACUACCACAGAGCUCUGGGCUGGUAGUUUGUCAGCUGUUUCUUGGGACAAGUUCCAAAUUUCAAUUUCUUUUAUUAACCGUUUCAAUAUUUCUUCUUUCCAUCUGGCUCUAAUGCUUAUACCCCCAUGUGCUCUUUAUGGGCUUUGCAGCACCUAGGGCAAUGCAGCUUUAAUUUUUGGCAGCUACUGAGAGCCAUGGACUCUUUUGCCUGCCUUUAUUUCUGCAUGUCAUAUUAGUAUAAGCUAGUGUAAUUGACUGUAGCUGGCAUAUGUUGCCAGUGUUGUUCAGUUGGCACAGUGAAGGGACUUCCUGAAGAAAAGCGAAUUUUUCCAUAGUGUUUUCAAGUCUGCCCAUGUAGACUUACAAUUGCCUGGAACCUGAAUGUUGGAGCAAGGCUCUGACCAACAGGCAAGCAGAUCUCACACUGUUCUAACAGAUGUAGAUGAGCAGAGACUGCCAAGUGACUGUAUUUGCAUCAGUUGUGUUAACUGAAAGCAUAAUUUUCAGCUGAAAAGGCUACUUACAGUUUAGAAAGCUUUAGGCUUAGAACUAGUUUACUGACAUUUAGCAGAUUUUUUCCUUUAAAACUCAGGACCUCUGUAAACUUAGAGCUAGGUGAUGUCUUGGAGUCUAACAGGGCAUUAUCAUGGAAAAGAGCAUGGUCCCAUUUAGGCAUGCCUUCCCUCUCUUCUCUCUUUUAAUUCACCAUCUGAAACUAACCAAGACAAUCUUCUGCAUUCCUACUGAGUUUCAUCUGACGAGGUCAGCAGUCUUGUUCUCUGCAUUUUUUUCUGCACAACAGGGGUACUCACAAUAUAGUGCAACCCCCUGGUAAGGGUGAUACUACAUGGAUUCUUGAAAAGAAAACCAUGUGUGCCAAUUUGGCUUGAAUUCUUUGAGCACAUUGUUGGAUUGUUAAUGCAGGGGAAAAAGGACGGUCAUAUAAUCUGUCUGCAUUUCACAACUGCUCCUGGUGCCACGUGACACUACAGAGAGAUUUUUUUACUAAGUCAGAGAGCACAUUACAAAGGGUAAAUGCACUGAAUUGGAUUAAAAGCUGGCUUGUAAAGAGGAAAUGGUUUGUGCUGGAAAGGAGCGGACUAUUCAAGAUGAGGAACAGUAAUGACAGGGUUGUUGCAGCAAAGCUCAUUAUUAAUAACAUUGGCAAUGAUGCAUA